rnacentral:rRNA from 1 species
UACAGAGGUCUCAAGCGUUGUUCGGAUUCAUUGGGCGUAAAGGGUGCGUAGGUGGUGGGGUAAGUCGGAUGUGAAAUCCCGGGGCUCAACCCCGGAACUGCAUUCGAAACUGCCUUGCUCGAGUACUGGAGAGGAGACUGGAAUUUACGGCGUAGCAGUGAAAUGCGUAGAUAUCGUAAGGAAGACCAGUGGCGAAGGCGAGUCUCUGGACAGUUACUGACACUGAGGCACGAAGGCCAGGGGAGCAAACGGG